AUGAGAUUGCAGAUUAUUAUUCUAAGUGAGGUAACUCAGGAAUGGCAAAUCAAAUAUUGUAUGUCUUCACUGAUAUGUGGGAGCUAAGCUAUAAGGACACAAAGGCAUAAGAAUGAUACAAUGAUACAAUGGACCCUGGGGACUUGGGGGGAAGAGUGUGAGAUGGGUGAGGGAUAAAACACUACAAAUAUGGUGCAGUGUAUACUGCUCAGGUGAUGGGUGCACCAAAAUAUCACAAAUUACCAUGAAUAUGUAUAUUUAUAUAUUAUAUAUUAUAUAUAAUAUAUAUGUGUAUUAUAUAUUAUAUGUAUAUUAUAUAUAACAUAUAUAAUAUAUUUGUAUUAUAUAUUAUAUAUGUAUAUUGACAAAGGUGAAAAGACAACUCAAUGGGGAAUGGACAGUUUUUCAACAGAUGAUUUUAAAACAACUGAACAUCCAUAUGCAAAAAAAUAAACCUACCUAAAUUUCACAGCUUAUACAAAAAUUAACCUAAAAUGGAUCACGGAUCUAAAUGUAGAACUAAAUUUAUAAAAUUUUUAGAAGAAAAAAAUCCAUAGGCCGGGCACGGUGGCUCAUGCCUGUAAUCCCAGCACUUUGGAGGCUGAGGCGGGCAGAUCCCUUGAGGUCAGUUCAAGACUAGCCUAGCCUAUAUGGUGAAAUCCCAACUCUACUAAAAAUAAAAAAUAAAAAUAAAAAAUGGGCUGGGAGUGGUGGUGCACACCUGUAGUCCCAGCUACUUGUUUUUA
rnacentral:lncRNA from 1 species